UACGAAAGCCCCGUCGGUGGAGGAAGCUGACCUUUUUUUGGGGGGCAAAAACGUUAAAAAACAAUUUAGGUCGUGUCAGCAAAGAUGGCAAACAAUUUGGAAAUGGGGAUGGCGUGAGAUCGAGUGAGUCAGGAAUGUUCUGGCGAUGUUUUUCUCAUCCAGGAAGUGUCAGAUGCUCGGGGGACUCCGAGAUUGUUUCACCGCAUGAGAAAAUUGAAUUUUUUUUCUCGCGCUUUUUGACAGGGGCUGUAUUCAUACGGGACAGAAAUGGAACAUGAACAAUCUUUAUAGCACGUCUUAUCAAAUUGUUAGCCAAAGGAAACAUGACGGAUGUUUUCCUCGUUCAGGCUAGGACGGCAAAGUGCGCAAUACCAGGUACUCGGCAAUCAGCGCCGCCACGUGAAUGUGGCACAUGGCCGCCUGUGGAGACAAUCGCAACCAUGUGAGCGGGAUGGCAGAAACGUUGCAGAAGUACACAAGACGCAAUUUGACCUCGGAGAGAUCGUUAUUCUUCAGGUGCGCGCGGGCCAUGCUGUCCAGCCAGGUCCGCCUCAACUCGGGGGUGCUGGCGUAGGAGCGGGCCAGGCUGUACUGCAGAUCCAGCAACAUUUCCGGGUCUUUCUCGUGCUCCCUCAUCUGGGCCGUGGCCAUCAGCACCGUACGGAUGCGCUUGGUUAGACCUUUGACUUCGGAGGGGAACCCUGUGGACUAAAGGAAUUGACGCUGACAUCAUCAGUUGCCUUCAAAAAGUAACUUAGUUGCUAUCCUGAUUACUUCCAAAUGAACUAAAUUGGGGUAUAAAUGUUCAAUUUGACACAUUGUGAUGUUGCAAAGUAAUCAGAUUACUUUGCUGAGAGGCGCGUUAGCGGCUACCUUCAUGGCCUUGUCGCUGUUAGCAAAAUUGUUGAUGAUGGAGAGCGACUCCUGGAAACGCGAGCUGCCGCUGAGCGCCACGUCGGAGAUCAGCUGGCUCACCGCGAUGAUGAUCUGGCGAGAGAUGAAGAGGAGAGAAGGAGAAAAGUGGCCGGGUCAAAUGCAAACCUGGCGCUCGGGUUUUACCUGCAGAUGCGUGCGCAGGAAGGUCUUCCUCUUGGUGUACUCGUAGUUGUUCCUCAUAAGCAGAUAAAGCAGCCCCGAGGCUUCGGCCCUCAGCGAGGCCAUCUUGGAAACGCAGCAUUUGAGCACCUCGCAGCACAGAAGCUCGCAAAGGGUCACGCGACCUUUGAACAGCACCGAGGGGAACUGACAAGAGAGCAUUUGGGGCAAUUUUUAUUUAUUUUUUUAAAUGUGUGCGUCUCAAAACAUACGAGCGGUAGCGAAUGAUAGCGACAUUCGGAGCCGACCUUGUUCAUGAAGGCUCGCAGCGCAGCAAACACGUGCUUGAGGGCGGCUUCCGAUUGGCCCACUUUGAGGAAGGUCAGGUAAACGUCAAACACCUUCCUCAUCAGAGCGUUGUGGCCGUCGCUGUCUGUCAGCUGGGUCUGACGAGACCA